GGGCCUGUAGCUCAGGUGGUUAGAGCGCACGCCUGAUAAGCGUGAGGUCGAAAGU
rnacentral:tRNA from 1 species